rnacentral:rRNA from 1 species
UUGAAAGGGAAACGAUUGAAGUCAGUCGUACCAGCGGGAAAUCAACCUUUCGAGUGGGGUUUUGGAGUUUUUUGAAGAGUGUCAAAACCUUUAUUUCAAAAUAUUCGCUCUUUUGGUGUACUUUCUCGUGGGUAGGUUAACAUCGAUUUUGAUCAUCAUAAAAAGAUUGGAGGAAUGUAGCUUCGAUCUUGUAUUGAAGUGUUAUAGCCUUUGGUAAAUGUGAUGAUUAGGAUCGAGGAUUGCAACGAAUACCCUUUUGGGCUAUCCGCCUGAUCUCUGAUACGUGGCCUUGGUAUCGAAAGCGUGCUUAUGGUAUUGAGGUAUUACGGUCAAAAGGUUAGAACGGAUUACAUUCGUUAAGGAUGUUGACGUA